AACGAACGCUGGCGGCAUGCCUAACACAUGCAAGUCGAACGAGACCUUCGGGUCUAGUGGCGCACGGGUGCGUAACGCGUGGGAAUCUACCCUUGGGUUCGGAAUAACAGUUAGAAAUGACUGCUAAUACCGGAUGAUUACGUAAGUCCAAAGAUUUAUCGCCCCAGGAGGAGCCCGCGUAAGAUUAGCUUGUUGGUGGGGUAAUGGCCUACCAAGGCGACGAUCUUUAGCUGGUCUGAGAGGAUGAUCAGCCACACUGGGACUGAGACACGGCCCAGACUCCUACGGGAGGCAGCAGUGGGGAAUAUUGGACAAUGGGCGAAAGCCUGCUCCAGCAAUGCCGCGUGAGUGAUGAAGGCCUUAGGGUUGUAAAGCUCUUUUACCAGGGAUGAUAAUGACAGUACCUGGAGAAUAAGCUCCGGCUAACUCCGUGCCAGCCGCCGCCGUAA
rnacentral:rRNA from 1 species